rnacentral:rRNA from 1 species
CCUACGGGUGGCUGCAGUCGAGAAUCAUUCACAAUGGGGGAAACCCUGAUGGUGCGACGCCGCGUGGGGGAAUGAAGGUCUUCGGAUUGUAAACCCCUGUCAUGUGGGAGCAAAUUAAAAAGAUAGUACCACAAGAGGAAGAGACGGCUAACUCUGUGCCAGCAGCCGCGGUAAUACAGAGGUCUCAAGCGUUGUUCGGAAUCACUGGGGGUAAAGGGUGCGUAGGCGGUUUCGUAAGUCGGGUGUGAAAGGCGGGGGCUCAACCCGAAGACGGCACAUGAUACUGGGAGACUAGAGUAAAGGUGAGGGAAGCGGAAUUCGCGGUGUAGCAGUGAAAUGCGUAGAUAUCAAGAAGAACUCUGAUGGCGAAGGCAGGUUACUAGACUGUAACUGACACUGAGGCUCGAAAGCGAGGGGAGCAAAAAGGAUUAGAUACCCUUGUAGUC